rnacentral:lncRNA from 1 species
CUGAGAUGCCUAUGAGAAAUCCAGUUUAAAAUAAACAAUAGACAGGUAGCUGGUGAUGCAGGCUGACUUCUGAUGUCAUAAGGGCAAGUAUCACCAUGGCAAGAAGAACACAAAACAUUGCACUCAAUUCUUAUCAAUCUCAGUCUUCAUAGAGCAGACAAAGAAGGCGGCUGGUACUUGGAGUCAAAGGGAUAAAAUGUAGAAGACAACAUACUUUAUUAACAAAGAUUUGUCAGGACCCCUAUAGAUGGGAAGGAGAGGAAAUUAACAACAAAAGGAUCUAAAUAUCAUCUAUGAGAGAUUCAAAAUGAAUUUAAGCGGGGAAGGAACACCUUAAACAUCAGUAAUGAAAACCCACUACCAAUCUCAAGAGCACCAGAACUUAUCGCUGGACUGUUGUCAAGGGAAAGAAGCUUGAACUGUACAGAUAUUAAGGGGAAAGAAUAUUUGCGACUUAAAUCAGGACUUCUGACAAUUUAUUUAUCAGACAAGAAAAACUAUGAAGACCAUACUUUCUGAGAAGACAAGAAGAAAACUUUUUUUGAGUAAAAAUGGAGUAAAUCCUAUGCCCUCUAUGCAAGCACGGAAGCCGAAACACACAAAACACUGUCAAGUUGGUGGAAGCGAAAACAUUUUCUUGGGAAGUGGUCACCUUCAAGAAGCAAAUGAAAAGGCAUCAAUGGGUACCUCCACAUCCGAAAAGAAAAGGCAAUUACUGGUCUUCCUCUGGAAGAAAGACUAGAAGAUUAAAUGCAACAUUUUUAGCAAAAAAAAAAAGUCCUUCAAAGCUACUGUAAUUAACACAAGAACCUUUCAUCUCUAUCUUUCCCAACGAAAUUUCAAGAACUAAAAAGACGUAUUCCCAAGAUACUCCUGACUCUUUCCUUCUCACAUCUGUUCAGGGAUUUUGUUAUCAACACCUAAGGGGCACAACAGAAAAUCACAAGUCAUUUCAGCAUAUCCUUACAGGCCUCUACACCAAGAAACUGAGAGAUGAAAAGAAAUCAACACAAAUACUUUGAGUAGUGCAAGCACAAAGCACACAAUAAAGAACUUGCACCAUCUCA